rnacentral:rRNA from 1 species
ACGAACGCUGGCGGCGUGCUUAACCCAUGCAAGUCGAACGGAAAGGCCCCCUUGUGGGGUACUCGAGUGGCGAACGGGUGAGUAACACGUGAGUAACCUACCCUUGACUUUGGGAUAACUUCAGGAAACUGGGGCUAAUACCGGAUAGGAGCUCCUGCUGCAUGGUGGGGGUUGGAAAGUUUCGGCGGUUGGGGAUGGACUCGCGGCUUAUCAGCUUGUUGGUGGGGUAGUGGCUCACCAAGGCUUUGACGGGUAGCCGGCCUGAGAGGGUGACCGGCCACAUUGGGACUGAGAUACGGCCCAGACUCCUACGGGAGGCAGCAGUGGGGAAUAUUGCACAAUGGGCGGAAGCCUGAUGCAGCAACGCCGCGUGCGGGAUGACGGCCUUCGGGUUGUAAACCGCUUUCGCCUGUGACGAAGCGUGAGUGACGGUAAUGGGUAAAGAAGCACCGGCUAACUACGUG